GAUGAACGCUGGCGGCGUGCCUAAUACAUGCCAGUCGAGCGAACAGACGAGGAGCUUGCUCCUCUGACGUUAGCGGCGGACGGGUGAGUAACACGUGGAUAACCUACCUAUAAGACUGGGAUAACUUCGGGAAACCGGAGCUAAUACCGGAUAAUAUAUUGAACCGCAUGGUUCAAUAGUGAAAGACGGUUUUGCUGUCACUUAUAGAUGGAUCCGCGCCGCAUUAGCUAGUUGGUAAGGUAACGGCUUACCAAGGCAACGAUGCGUAGCCGACCUGAGAGGGUGAUCGGCCACACGGAAACUGAGACACGGCCCAGACUCCUACGGAGGCAGCAGUAGGGAAUCUUCCGCAAUGGGCGAAAGCCUGACGGAGCAUCGCCGCGUGAGUGAUGAAGGUCUUCGGAUCGUAAAACUCUGUUAUUAGGGAAGAACAAAUGUGUAAGUAACUAUGCACGUCUUGACGGUACCUAAUCAGAAAGCCACGGCUAACUACGUG
rnacentral:rRNA from 1 species